GAUCCUGGCUCAGAUUGAACGCUGGCGGAAUGCUUUACACAUGCAAGUCGAACGGUAGAGGGGGCAACCCUCGAGAGUGGCGAACGGGUGAGUAAUAUAUCGGAACGUGCCCAGUCGUGGGGGAUAACGUAGCGAAAGUUACGCUAAUACCGCAUACGAUCUACGGAUGAAAGCGGGGGAUCGCAAGACCUCGCGCGAUUGGAGCGGCCGAUAUCAGAUUAGGUAGUUGGUGGGGUAAAGGCUCACCAAGCCAACGAUCUGUAGCUGGUCUGAGAGGACGACCAGCCACACUGGAACUGAGACACGGUCCAGACUCCUACGGGAGGCAGCAGUGGGGAAUUUUGGACAAUGGACGCAAGUCUGAUCCAGCCAUUCCGCGUGCAGGAUGAAGGCCCUCGGGUUGUAAACUGCUUUUGUACGGAACGAAAAGGUUUCCAUUAAUACUGGGAGCUCAUGACGGUACCGUAAGAAUAAGCACCGGCUAACUACGUG
rnacentral:rRNA from 1 species